UUAGACAGCUACAUUCUUAUUAUUUUUCUAGAAGAUUCAGUAAAUAAACUAACCAUUCUAUGAAGAAAGAAUGAUCAGUAUAUUCACUUGCCUACUUGCCUGUGUGUGCAUUAGUUUGUGUUGCUUUUGUCUCUAACUCGUUAUAUUUUAUUUAAUCUUUUUUAUAUAGUCUUCAUCGUCACGGUCAGCAAAUAUGCUGCUUUCGCCAUUUUUCUUAAGCAUAGAGUAAAACAACUGUGAAUCACUACAUCAAGAUGGUGAAGAUGAUAUCUUUAUUAAUACUUUUAUAUACGGUUCCUUGAUAGGAAAAAUAUACUGGAUCAAGAAUUUCGUGUCUGCAGUAGCUAAUAUGCUACCAUAGUCAUCAUUUUCAGGAGCAAUGUUCUGAGUCUUCGAUUGUCUUGAAAGGUCUCCUCCAUCGGAACGCGAAGUAGCCGGCUCCAGAUCCGAGUGCAACAGCAAUACAAAGCCAUGCAUUAUAUGUCAUGAAGAUAAGCAUAAGAAAAUAACUGAUCGUCAUCUGUACAAUAUGAAGCAGGGUCUGGACAAGGUGAGGAAAAACGAAUGCGGAAGGUCUGCGAAAGAAUCAGAUACAAACAGAGUAGUAAAUAAAUGACUUCAAACAAAUUUA